CCCCCGCUGUUGUGCGGCUGACUGCCGGUGCCAGUGUCCCUUCAAUCGUUGGCUAUGGUGUGCCUAUCAUUUUGACGAGUGCUUGCAUGCUGCUACCAGUAACACUGGAAGUUGCAUUGCUAAAUGUUGGUUUUGCCGUGCAUGCCCUCAGGUUAUGUCACGACAACUGUAAAGCAUUCAUGGCGUUGCCUCGUGUAGCUAGCUGCAUAGGCUAGCAGCAUCAAGGCCACCUCAUGGUUGCUAUUGGUCUCGGAUGUGGCUGACUCUGAAGGUUGAAGGUGCUUUGGCACCUCAUGCCUACUAUAGUCCGAUUGGAAACAACGACAGUAGGCCUUGCUGAUGCCUCGUGCGGAAGCUAGUUCC
rnacentral:misc_RNA from 1 species